rnacentral:rRNA from 1 species
AGUGAACGCUGGCGGUAGGCCUAACACAUGCAAGUCGAACGGCAGCACAGUAAGAGCUUGCUCUUACGGGUGGCGAGUGGCGGACGGGUGAGGAAUACAUCGGAAUCUACUUUUUCGUGGGGGAUAACGUAGGGAAACUUACGCUAAUACCGCAUACGACCUACGGGUGAAAGCAGGGGAUCUUCGGACCUUGCGCGAUUGAAUGAGCCGAUGUCGGAUUAGCUAGUUGGCGGGGUAAAGGCCCACCAAGGCGACGAUCCGUAGCUGGUCUGAGAGGAUGAUCAGCCACACUGGAACUGAGCCACGGUCCAGACUCCUACGGGAGGCAGCAGUGGGGAAUAUUGGACAAUGGGCGCAAGCUUGAUCCAGCCAUACCGCGUGGGUGAAGAAGGCCUUCGGGUUGUAAAGCCCUUUUGUUGGGAAAGAAAAGCAGCAGGUUAAUACCCCGCUGUUCUGACGGUACCCAAAGAAUAAGCACCGGCUAACUUCGUG